GAGCUAAUCCCAAAAAGCCGGUCUCAGUUCGGAUUGGGGUCUGCAACUCGACCCCAUGAAGUCGGAGUCGCUAGUAAUCGCAGAUCAGCAACGCUGCGGUGAAUACGUUCCCGGGCCUUGUACACACCGCCCGUCAAGUCACGAAAGUUGGUAACACCCGAAGCCGGUGGCCUAACCCUUGUGGGGGGAGCCGUCGAAGGUGGGACUGGCGAUUGGGACUAAGUCGUAACAAGGUAGCCGUACCGGAAGGUGCGGUUGGA
rnacentral:rRNA from 1 species